rnacentral:misc_RNA from 1 species
GAUGAAGAACGUAGCGAAAUGCGAUACGUAGUGUGAAUUGCAGAAUUCAGUGAAUCAUCGAAUCUUUGAACGCACAUUGCACCUCUCGGUAUUCCGGGAGGUAUGCCUGUUCGAGCGUCAUUUGUACCCUCAAGCUCUGCUUGGUGUUGGGUGUUUAUUCCGCCUCUGUGUGUGAACUCGCCUCAAAACAAUUGGCAGCCGGCGUACUUGUUUCGGAGCGCAGCACAUUUUGCGAUCCAGAUCAACGUACAGCGGCAUCCAAGAAGCCUUAUUUAACGCUCUUGACCUCGGAUCAGGUAGGGAUACCCGCUGAACUUAAGCAUAUCAAUAAGCGGAGGA